CCUACGGGGUGCAGCAGUGGGGAAUAUUGGGCAAUGGGCGCAAGCCUGACCCAGCAACGCCGCGUGAAGGAAGAAGGCUUUCGGGUUGUAAACUUCUUUUAAGAGGGAAGAGCAGAAGACGGUACCUCUUGAAUAAGCCACGGCUAACUACGUGCCAGCAGCCGCGGUAAUACGUAGGUGGCAAGCGUUGUCCGGGUUUACUGGGUGAAAAGGGCUUGUAGGCGGGCUGACAAGUCAGGUGGGAAAUUCCGGGGCUCAACCCCGGACCUGCAGUUGAAACUGUUGGUCUUGAGUAUCGGAGAGGCAGGCGGAAUUCCUAGUGUAGCGGUGAAAUGCGUAGAUAUUAGGAGGAACACCAGUGGCGAAGGCGGCCUGCUGGACGACAACUGACGGUGAGGCGCGAAAGCGUGGGGAGCAAACAGGAUUAGAUACCCGAGUAGUC
rnacentral:rRNA from 1 species